GACGAACGCUGGCGGCGUGCCUAAUACAUGCAAGUCGAGCGGACCGAACAGGAGCUUGCUCUUGUUCGGUUAGCGGCGGACGGGUGAGUAACACGUGGGUAACCUGCCUGUAAGACCGGGAUAACUUCGGGAAACCGGAGCUAAUACCGGAUAAUAUCUUGAACCGCAUGGUUUUUGGUUGAAAGGCGGCUUUGGUUGCCCUUAACGGUUGGGCCCGGGCCGCUUUGGUAAGUGGUGAGGGAAACGGCUACCCAAGGGACGAUGCCGAAGCCGACUGGGAGGGGGAACGGGCACACCUGGACGGGGACACGGCCCAGACUCCUACGGGGAGGAGCAGGAAGGAAUCUUUCGAAAAUGGCGAAAGGCUGACGGAACGACGGCGGGGGAGGUGAGAAGGUCUUCGGGUCGUAAAGCUCUGUUUUUAGGGAAGAAGAAGCGUCGUACGAACAGGGCGGCGCGGUGACGGUACCUAAUGAGAAAGCCCCGGCUAACUACGUG
rnacentral:rRNA from 1 species